rnacentral:misc_RNA from 1 species
GACAAAAGUCGAUUCUAAGAUGUGAACGCCAAAGGCUGACGAAAAGAAAAAUAAAAACCAAACCAAACAAUCCUCAAACGACAAAAGGCUAACAAAUACAAAAACAAAAACAAAUCCAAACCCUCCUCUACCCUCUUACUCUCUUCUUUCUGUGUCUCAUACACAAACAAAACUUGCCAUUUCAAUCCAAAGUCUCUCUUUUUGAUUUCCAUUUUCUCUUCAGACGGGAUAAAAAGGGAUAGCUAACUUAAAAUAAG